AGCCCUGUCAAACAAGUCAAAAGGCUGGUGCCCCAGAAGCAGGCGAGCAUGGCUAAGAAAAAAAAGCUGGAAAAAGAACAAGAGGAAAUAAGAGUCUGAGUGGUCCGCAGGAGGAGCAGCCAGGCUUGCUUUCCAGGAUGGGCACUGGGAGGGCCACGCCACUGGUCUGGAGCUGAGCUCUCUCCCUGACCCCAAUCCCACCCCUGCUCCGCUCCACCCUGUUGCAGAGCCAGCGUUAGAGACAAGAGCCCUGCGAAAAAGGCCAAAGCCACAGCCAGAGCCAAGAAGCCAGGAUUCAAGAAAUGAGGAGCCACGCCUUGAGGGGCACGGUGCAAAGUGGGCCUUCCUUGGGCUGUGCUACGGGCACAGGGUGCCCCUGUCCAACACCUCCAUCUGUGUCUGAAUGUGACAGGGGUGUUGCGGGGGCAACAUGAGAGCCCCUCACCCCCAACUCUCCGCUCUCAGGAGGCCCCCAGUGAAGGGCCCCACCUCGGGGUCACAAUAAAGUUGCCUGGUCAGG
rnacentral:sRNA from 1 species